UUAAAACUUAAAUAAACAUUUUGCCAUCUGACGUUAUUCACUCUGUGAAUUGAUUUUUGUAUCCAAAUGAAAUAAAAAAUGGAUAAUGAUGAAAAAAAAGAAGAAAAAACGAAUCUUGCUCCACCUUGCUUUAAAAGUUAUAGUGUUGUAGAGAGUGCAUUAGCAAGAAUUAAAGACCAUGUAAAAAAGCACUACAUGCAGUAGCUAUUGCUACUCAAUCUAGUCAAAUAAACACAAAUUCCAUUCGGGAAAUAAUUCCAGGCCAAAGUAAUACCAUGCCUAUGAAUUUUGACAUUAAGAUAGAAGUAGAGAAUGUUGAUGAGAAUGCAAUAGA